rnacentral:rRNA from 1 species
AUCCCUCAACAAUACUGAGUAUUUSUAUAAUACUAUAGAAAAUUUUAUGUURAAACUAGUAACAAGAAGAAGACACUUCUCUUAAAUGUACCUUUAAAUCAGAAAGGACCAACCACUGAUAUUUAACAUACGAGUAAAAAGUAGUAACUGAUCAAGAAAACUCUUCUCUCACCACUGUUAACCUAACACAAGAACAUUUCAAGAAAGAUUAAAAAAACAAGAAGGAACUCGGCAAAUAUUUAACCCCGCCUGUUUACCAAAAACAUCGCCUCUUGACUCUAAUAAGAGGUCCAGCCUGCCCAGUGACUUUGUUCAACGGCCGCGGUAUCCUAACCGUGCGAAGGUAGCGUAAUAACUUGUCCUUUAAAUAAGGACUAGUAUGAAUGGCAUCACGAAGGUUAUACUGUCUCCUUUUUUUAAUCAGUUAAACUAAUCUCCUCGUGAAGAAGCGAGGAUAAAAAUAUAAGACGAGAAGACCCUAUGGAGCUUCAAACAAAGUGGCACUUAUUACAUAUAACUUCUAUACUUAAAUCUUUUAAUAAUAUGACCAUAAGUUUUUGGUUGGGGUGACCACGGAGUACAACAAAACCCCCAUGUUGAAAUUUUAAGCCAAGAACAACAUAUCUAAGCAUCAACAUUUUGACAUUCAUUGACCCAAUUUAAUUGAACACNGAACCAAGUUACCCUAGGGAUNACUGCGCAUCCAMUUCAGAGCCCYNAUCGACANGKGGGUUUACGACCUCGAUGUGGAUCAGGCUUCCCA